ensembl:lncRNA
AGGCUAAAGCCUGGCAUGGAAGGCAGGCUCUAAUGUUACAUCUAAUCUUAGAUGCUUAGAAUGACUAUAUAACUGUUUUGUCCUUUUUUCAAGAGUUAUGUUGUGGCAGUACUUAAUUACAUUGUAGCACAUUCUUGUCCUCUACUAGACUAUGCUUUGUGCUGUGGACCUAAUGGUUUGAGUAGGUAUGGUUUGUAAAUGGUGGUAGUAUUUAUAGGAUUCCUUAGCAUGUAGUGGAAGAUAAAUACUUAUGGGAAAUAGGGGAGAGGGAAAUUACGAUCUUGCUAAUACUGCGUCAGAAAACAUAGGUUCUCUAUACUGUUGUAUAAUAUAGUCUCUAAGUAAUGCUGAGGAAAGAUAGCAAACCAAGAUAUUCUGCUACUGGAUAUUCAAAAUCAGAUAUGAAGUUAAAUGUGAUUUUUCUUGAAUCUGGUUCUCAGAAGUGCUGAGCUGUCAGUUUCAACUGAAGUCAGUAAAUACUGUACUUAUAUAUGAAACUAUGUAGUAUUGCAUAUUUCCAAACAGUCCUGAAGCAUUUUAGACUGUAUACUCAGAACUAGUUAAUGCUUCUGGUUGUUCAUCUCCCUGGUCUUCAGUUUUCUGAGCAUAAAAAUUCAUUCAUUCCAAUCACAGAAUCAUAGAAUGGUUAGAGUUGGAAAGGACCUUAAGAUCAUCUAGUUCCAGCCCCCCUGACAUGGGCAGGGACAUGUCAGUUUUGGACAUAAGCAGUAAUUUCUGAACUAAUCAGACCCACCUGUAUUAUUGCAGAAGAAACAGGAAAAUGCGUAAUUCUAUACUGAGUAUAAAACCUAGAUUAGAUUUAAGAUCUUGCUUGGCCAUAGGAGUGGUAGUAAAGCACUACCCAUUCAUGCGGGCAUUGUUCAUCCUUACAAGUGAGAUGGGGGGAAAAAGCUGUGUAAUUAGAUAUCAGUAUUUGAGAGGGCCAGACUAAGAUUUCAUAAUGACGUUGCCUGUAUAAUUUUUAAGCUUCUGAGUGCUUGAGUGUGUACUAUUAACACUUUCUUAAUUUUAAAUAUGUGCAACAUAUGUAAAUAGUAACUGAGAGAUUUUGAUUGGUUGGGAUUUUGCUGUAUCGUGAAGUAUUUUCUGGAAGUAUGGGGGAAGUUGUCAAAGUGGAGGUUAUAGUUAAUUUAUUUGGAACAAUGUUAUUUUUUUGUACAUGUUUGUGUAAUCCCACUGUAAUAAAAAGAAUAGUUACACUUCAAGUUGAAUUCAAAUCUUAAAAUCAGGCUGAAAAUUGGUGGGGGUUUUAGUAGCUUGGACUCAUCUAACAAAUAGAGACUUACACAUGAGUACAGGCUUCCCUUACACUCAGUGAAAGGGAUUUUGCACUUCCCGGGCAAUUAAUCAUGUGCUAAGAGAGAUAUCUAAAAUGGGUUAGGCAAAGAGCUCUCAAAAGGUAAGAGCAUAGUCUGUAAAGGGAGCAUGGGACAGCAAAUGCAGUUUGUUAGAUUGGGAUCUACAGGUAGAUUAAAUAAAACUUGCCUCGCUUGUGUAAGUGCAAUAGUACAAAGUAUCAGGUAAAGUAUUGUGUGUUUCUCUCAAUGUACCCUGCUCUUAAUGUGUAAUAAACAUUGACAAUUAUAA